CUGGCAUUUAAAAAAAAAAAUCACAUCUUUCUUUCGUAUAAAAAAGAUUAUGCGCUGCUACAUACCCUUUGCUCUUCACAUGUAAAAAAUAACUUGAACAAGCUCAGGCGAAAUCAUUUUCUGAAUGUGUAGAAUGCAGAACCCUAAACACAAAUAACAGCUUUAACUUGGCUUCUGCUUUUAAGCAAAGGUGUUCCUGCCUUGUUUUUCAGAAUUAGAGCCACCUGCUGUAAUGUAGAGGGAGCUACUGAGCAACAGCUGCUGGUAAAAAGGAGUAGAAAGAAGGUUAAACUAGUGAGAACUGUAGAAGUCUCAGUUAUAAGCUCCAAAACAGCAGUAUGGAUCAUGCAGGUCGGUGGUCUGUGCUCCAGCUGGUGAGUUUUUACUUCGUCCUUCACAAUGCUGUUAUUUUGUGCCUCCUUCUCUUCCUCUAACAUGAUAAGAGCCAUAUGGGAAGGAGAUUGUAUCUUGAUGAUCGGACCAAGUCUUUCAUCAUUCUCUAGCAUGCUUCCCUUACAACCAAGAUCCAGUGGUGCAUGGCCGGACCUUGACUGAGCACAAUAAUUAUGAAGAGUUAGCCUGGUGUGAGUUGAAGGUCAUGAAUAUUGCAUGCGGUGAUGAUAGCUUGUGCUUUAAUUUGGAAGUUACUGUUUGUCUUGUUGAUUGGUAAGAAUCAAAAUCUCACAAAUUGCAUAGAUCUUAGAAAAAGUGAAAAGUAUAACUUCAAAAAAAAAAAUCACUCCUUAUUUCUGAAGUGAUUCUUCUCUGAAUAAGUUAAACCCUGCUUGCUAUGAAAAAAAAAAUACACUUUAAACUGAGGAUGGUUAAGGAAUUUGAAUCUGCAGUUUCUAAAGAAGUUGGCUGAAGGAGGCCUCUGGCCUUGUAUGUUCAUUUUGAAUAAAUCUUGGAAAAUUAUUAUACCA
rnacentral:lncRNA from 1 species